UGCAGUCGAGCGGACAGAUGGGAGCUUGCUCCCUGAUGUUAGCGGCGGACGGGUGAGUAACACGUGGGUAACCUGCCUGUAAGACUGGGAUAACUCCGGGAAACCGGGGCUAAUACCGGAUGGUUGUUUGAACCGCAGGUUCAAACAUAAAAGGUGGCUUCGGCUACCACUUACAGAUGGACCCGCGGCGCAUAGCUAGUUGGUGAGGUAACGGCUCACCAAGGCAACGAUGCGUAGCCGACCUGAGAGGGUGAUCGGCCACACUGGGACUGAGACACGGCCCAGACUCCUACGGGAGGCAGCAGUAGGGAAUCUUCCGCAAUGGACGAAAGUCUGACGGAGCAACGCCGCGUGAGUGAUGAAGGUUUUCGGAUCGUAAAGCUCUGUUGUUAGGGAAGAACAAGUACCGUUCGAAUAGGGCGGUACCUUGACGGUGCCUAACCAGAAAGCCACGGCUAACUACGUGCCAGCAGCCGCGGUAAUACGUAGGUGGCAAGCGUUGUCCGGAAUUAUUGGGCGUAAAGGGCU
rnacentral:rRNA from 1 species